rnacentral:rRNA from 1 species
UGGGGAAUAUUGCACAAUGGGCGAAAGCCUGAUGCAGCGACGCCGCGUGGAGGAUGAAGGCUUUCGGGUCGUAAACUCCUGUCUGGGGGGAUGAAUACUGACAGUACCCCCGGAGGAAGCCCCGGCUAACUACGUGCCAGCAGCCGCGGUAAUACGUAGGGGGCGAGCGUUGUCCGGAAUUACUGGGCGUAAAGGGCGCGCAGGCGGCCUGUUAAGUCAGGUGUUAAAAUGCGGAGCUUAACUCCGCACCGCACUUGAAACUGGCAGGCUUGAGUGCAGGAGAGGAAAGUGGAAUUCCUAGUGUAGCGGUGAAAUGCGUAGAUAUUAGGAGGAACACCAGUGGCGAAGGCGACUUUCUGGACUGCAACUGACGCUGAGCGCGAAAGCUAGGGGAGCGAACAGGAUUAGAUACCCUGGUAGUCCUAGCCGUAAACGAUGGGGUACUAGGGUGUUGGGGGUUGACGAAUCCUCCAGUGACCGCAGUUAACGCACUAAGUACCCCGCC